CACGCCGUAAACGAUGAAUACUCGCUGUUUGCGAUAUACAGUAAGCGGCCAAGCGAAAGCAUUAAGUAUUCCACCUGGGGAGUACGUUGGCAACAAUGAAACUCAAAGGAAUUGACGGGGGCCCGCACAAGCGGAGGAACAUGUGGUUUAAUUCGAUGAUACGCGAGGAACCUUACCCGGGCUUGAAAUGCAUCUGACCGACUUGGAAACAGGUCUUCUAGCAAUAGCAGAUGUGUAGGUGC
rnacentral:rRNA from 1 species